rnacentral:lncRNA from 1 species
AACUCUGGGGGACAGUGAAGGAAGUGGGGCCUAGUGUGCUGCAGCCCACGGGGUUGCAAAGAGUCAGAAGUGACUUAGUGACUGAACAACAGCAACGAUACUUUUUUUUAGGUGUGUCUCUUUUAAAAAUCCCUAUCUUUAUUUUUUAAUUGAAAUAUAAUUGCUUUACAAUAUUGUCUUAGCUUCUGUUGUACAAUGAAGUGAAUCAACUACAUGUAUACAUACCUCCCCUCCCUCUAGGAAUUUCCCUCCCACCCCACACUUACCCCACCCAUCUAGAUCAUUUUGGAUAUAUUAGGUUACAUAAAAUGUAUUGUUAAAAUUAAUUUUGUUUCUCUUUACUUUUUACAUAUAGCUAUUAGAAAAUCUAAAAAUUACAUGUUUGGCUCUUUUUAUAUUUCUAGUGGACAGCACUACUGUUCUAAUGGAUUCUGUCAUGUUAAUGAACACUUUAGAUAUCAACACUGAAUUCUAUUUUAUCCCCAUAGGAAGAUUAAUCAAUAGUAUACAUUGGUUUCAAGUUUUCACUGAAGAGAAGAGCCAGAAAGAAAGGAAUAUUUAUGGAAUUUUAACUCCUGCAACAAUCCUGUGGGGCAGACUUAUCAUCUCCAUUGACUGAUGAGGAAACUGAUAUGUGGGUUUCCAAGAAGUUGCAUCAGCUGCUCACAUUUGCAUGGUGAGCAAUACAAGGUUAGAAAUGGAUUCAGUAUCUUGUGACUUAAAAGCCCAUUUAACCUUGCUGCUCCUUCUGCUUUGUUUCCCAGAGAAAAUGUGAGAGGAAGAACACUGUGUGGAAAGAAGAAUUGUGGGCCUGAAACAUAUUUCACACCCAAAGAAAUAGCGGGGAAAAAAAGGUCAAAUCCAUUCUUUUACCUCUGUCUCAGGAAUGAAAAAGUCAAUUUUUAAUUAUAUGGGUAAGGUUGAC